GUUUCUGGGAGAAAGGGGGAGGCAUAAUUUGUGAAAAGCUGUGAUUAGGGAGGAAGGGAGAAAGAAGCAAAGAUUUAUUAAGCUCCUACUAUGUACUAAGCACUGAGCUAACUGCUUUUCACAAAUACGAUCUCAUUUGAUUCUCACAACAGCUCUAGGAGGUAGAUACCAUUAUUAGCCUCAUUUUAUGAUUGAGGAAACUGAGGUAGACAAGUAACUUACCUAGAGUCCCACAGCUAGUGUCUGUAACUGAAAUCAGAUUUCCUGACUCCAAAGAAAGGAAAACGAAUAUCUCCAAGACAAAAAGGCACUCAGGAGAUGGAAAAUAACCCUGACAGAGUUUUAUAAAUGUUUUUCAGGUCUUAUAGAAUAGGAGGACUGAGAGUACGGAUUCAAAAAAACUGACUAAGCCAGGAAAACACGAGACUUUUAAAGCAACAGUCUGGCUGUCUUGGAUUCCCAGAGCAUUGACUUCUGCAGAAAAGAAAAUGGGGGGACGGAACAAGUGAUGACGUAUACAACCCUUCAUGUCCAUAGCAAAGGAUUCUGAACUACAUGCCUGGGAGGUUGAGGGAAAAGGCUUUUCAUUGACUUUCUGCAAACAUAAGUAUCCUUCCCCUUCAGUGUCUUCCUUCAGUUCAAUUUUAUUUAAUUAAUUAGUUAAUUUAUUUUACAAUGAGCAGAAGUUUUCAUUCAAAUUUUAAAAAGAUCUUUUAUCAAAGUCAACUUUGAACUAACAAAAAGUACACAUAUGAAAAGAGGUGAAAUUUGUUUUUUGGUUUGGGGGUUUGUUUGUUUUUUAAUCUGUAUUCAGGUUUUAUUGACUGUGAGUCCCCUGUUCUAUCUACUAUGCCAAAGUAUUCUCUAUUUAUUUUUCAUUUUAAUAACAAAUUUCAGUUCAAUUUUAUUAAGCUUUUUCUGUGUAACAUUUGUUAUUUGGGGGCCUGAAUAAAGAUAUUUAAUUUAAAAAAUUUAGAAUUCCAAGAUGAGAGAUGUUUAAAUGUGCCUACUUAGGAGAAUGAAGAGAAGAAUAUUGUGGGGAAAUAAAGCUUGAGGCCUAUUCUUUGCCUUGACUAUUUCUCCUUUCCCUCCAUCUGUCUUUUAGGUACACUCCUCUGAUCAUUCCCAUGAGAUAGAAGCAAGGGAGAGAGAAUGUUGUAAUUUCCUUUUCUUCUCAGCUUGACAGCAGCCUAAGAAAAGGUUUUCAGUUCUCCCCAUGAUCUCAUCCUCCGUGACCUGCAAAUUCUGAAUCAGGAAAUAGGUGGUCAUCUUCCCUUUGCCUUUGACUUCAAUUUCACCCCUCUCAAUGAUCUCAAACCCACGAUUUUCCAGAGC